rnacentral:rRNA from 1 species
AUAGACCCGAAACCCGGUGAUCUAGCCAUGGGCAGGUUGAAGGUUGGGUAACACUAACUGGAGGACCGAACCGACUAAUGUUGAAAAAUUAGCGGAUGACCUGUGGCUGGGGGUGAAAGGCCAAUCAAACCGGGAGAUAGCUGGUUCUCCCCGAAAGCUAUUUAGGUAGCGCCUCGUGAACUCAUCUCCGGGGGUAGAGCACUGUUUCGGCUAGGGGGCCAUCCCGGCUUACCAACCCGAUGCAAACUGCGAAUACCGGAGAAUGUUAUCACGGGAGACACACGGCGGGUGCUAACGUCCGUCGUGAAGAGGGAAACAACCCAGACCGCCAGCUAAGGUCCCAAAGUCAUGGUUAAGUGGGAAACGAUGUGGGAAGGCCCAGACAGCCAGGAUGUUGGCUUAGAAGCAGCCAUCAUUUAAAGAAAGCGUAAUAGCUCACUGGUCGAGUCGGCCUGCGCGGAAGAUGUAACGGGGCUAAACCAUGCACCGAAGCUGCGGCAGCGACACUGUGUGUUGUUGGGUAGGGGAGCGUUCUGUAAGCCGUUGAAGGUGUGUCGUGAGGCAUGCUGGAGGUAUCAGAAGUGCGAAUGCUGACAUAAGUAACGAUAAAGCGGGUGAAAAGCCCGCUCGCCGGAAGACCAAGGGUUCCUGUCCAACGUUAAUCGGGGCAGGGUGAGUCGACCCCUAAGGCGAGGCCGAAAGGCGUAGUCGAUGGGAAACGGGUUAAUAUUCCCGUACUUGGUGUUACUGCGAAGGGGGGACGGAGAAGGCUAUGUUGGCCGGGCGACGGUAGUCCCGGUUUAAGCGUGUAGGUGUGUGUUCCAGGUAAAUCCGGUUCACUUUAACACUGAGGCGUGAUGACGAGGCACCACGGUGCUGAAGCAACAAAUGCCCUGCUUCCAGGAAAAGCCUCUAAGCAUCAGGUAACAUCAAAUCGUACCCCAAACCGACACAGGUGGUCAGGUAGAGAAUACCAAGGCGCUUGAGAGAACUCGGGUGAAGGAACUAGGCAAAAUGGUGCCGUAACUUCGGGAGAAGGCACGCUGACAC